rnacentral:lncRNA from 1 species
AUCCCGGCCGGUUUCUAGCUCCCUGUGGUUUCUGGAAGGCUGGGAGCCGGCCCACAGCACACCGCGGAGGGCGCUGGGGAUGCAGCCUCUCUCUUGGCUUGAUGCCCCACAGGCUGACUGUCCCUGGGGGAGGCCUGAGGAUCUGUGGUCCGGAGCAGCCCCGAGGAGCAGAGGAAUCCCAGGCUCCCAGGGGAUGUGCUACUGGUCCAGAGACCACCCUUGGAGAACUCCCGCCUCGGGGGCGUCUACUUGCAGCCUCUGCUCCAACAGGAAGAAGACAACAUACACUGAAGUCCUGCACAGGGUUCAGAGAGAGGAAUUCUAGUGAAGAAACACAGCACAGAAAAAUUUGCACGAGAGCAGCAAGCCAGAGGAACAGAGCUUCCCACUCUUCCCGCUUUGUCCCUCUAAGACCCAGAACCAACUGUUGAAAAAAACCCAAGCCGUGGCCAGCUCCCCAUACCCGCAGCCACACCACAGAGUCACGUUAAGCCAGGGAGCGAGGCCGCUGCCAGCAAACCCAGGCAAUUUCCCUCCAGCUGCCUACCUCCCCCUCAGUUUACUGGCCUUGCCCACGACAGACGUAACACCUUGAUCUCUUACUCCUAAACAGCCGCCUACACAAUGCUAAUGUCACCGCGCCAGCAGAGCAGGGGAACAGGGCCCGUGACUGGGUGCUGCAGGAAGGCACCUGGGACAAAAUUCACCUCUGCAGCUGUAGAUCUCCGUCCGGGUCAAGUCGGUUGCCCGUGGAACUGACUUGGGAAGAGCAGAGAGGGGAGAGCCAAGCGCCCCGUCCCUCCUCACCUGCUCUAUCAGCCAAGUCUCAGACUGAGGCUGCCAGGACCCAGAUUCUUCCACUAACAAUUAAUCGUUAUCGGCUGGUCUAGGCAAUGAGUGCAUGAACCGGACUGGGCUGGGGCAAGAGACAGGAAUGAGCUAGAGCCCCAUGAACGUGACCCAGCCCGCAGAAUUUCCCUCUGUGCUCCAAGCACAACAGACCUUUUCGGGCCUCAGAUGUCUGAAAUGGAGAAGUGGAUGGAUGCCCGCAAAGAAGAAUUUUUCUUAUCAUUUAUUGAACACCUACAGUCCGCCCAACGCCUCUCAAGCACUAUCUCCAAUCUCUACGAUAACCCUAGAGCAUCAUUUGUUUUGUUAUC